GUUUACAGAAAGUCAGAGAUGAUAUCUAUCAAAAAAUAAAUAAAUAAAGCCCAUUUGAAGCUUGAGACAGUAUAAACUAUUCAGAUAAAUUCAGAUCCCUAUUAAUCCCUCUAAUUAUACUAUAUCCAGCUGGAAUGGAUAGUAUCACAGCCACCCAAAACUAAUGAUCAAAUUCUAACAUGAUAGUUGAUACACAUCUAGGAAAGAGUAAAGGUCUAAGACCUGAGGCUUUCAGUUUGGACAGCAUUAUGUCGUUCCGUUUCUUUUCUUCGUACGUUUAGAAGAGUGGAAAAUAAUGAUUAAAAAUAAUUUUCAAGUCCAGAAAAACAAAAAUUCCAGUAACUGGAAAAGUUGCAAUCGCUUGUAUCAGACACAUUACACGACAUCUUAGCUCACAGGACGAACAGGCAAA
rnacentral:misc_RNA from 1 species